AUUGAACGCUGGCGGCAGGCCUAACACAUGCAAGUCGAACGGUAACAGGAAGAAGCUUGCUUCUUUGCUGACGAGUGGCGGACGUGUGAGUAAUGUCUGGGAAACUGCCUGAUGGAGGGGGAUAACUACUGGAAACGUUAGCUAAUACCGCAUAACGUCGCAAGACCAAAGAGGGGGACCUUCGGGCCUCUUGCCUUCGGCUGUGCCCAGAUGGGAUUAGCUAGUAGGUGGGGUAACGGCUCACCUAGGCGACGAUCCCUAGCUGGUCUGAGAGGAUGACCAGCCACACUGGAACUGAGACACGGUCCAGACUCCUACGGGAGGCAGCAGUGGGGAAUAUUGCGCAAUGGGCGCAAGCCUGAUGCAGCCAUGCCGCGUGUAUGAAGAAGGCCUUCGGGUUGUAAAGUACUUUCAGCGGGGAGGAAGGGAGUAAAGUUAAUACCUGUGCUCAUUGACGGUACCCGCAGAAGAAGCACCGGCUAACUCCGUG
rnacentral:rRNA from 1 species